UGAUGGUGCUUGCACUAUCACUUAGCGGCGGACGGGUGAGUAAUGCUUAGGAAUCUGCCUAUUAGUGGGGGACAACAUCUCGAAAGGGAUGCUAAUACCGCAUACGUCCUACGGGAGAAAGCAGGGGAUCACUUGUGACCUUGCGCUAAUAGAUGAGCCUAAGUCGGAUUAGCUAGUUGGUGGGGUAAAGGCCUACCAAGGCGACGAUCUGUAGCGGGUCUGAGAGGAUGAUCCGCCACACUGGGACUGAGACACGGCCCAGACUCCUACGGGAGGCAGCAGUGGGGAAUAUUGGACAAUGGGGGGAACCCUGAUCCAGCCAUGCCGCGUGUGUGAAGAAGGCCUUAUGGUUGUAAAGCACUUUAAGCGAGGAGGAGGCUCUUUUGGUUAAUACCCAAGAUGAGUGGACGUUACUCGCAGAAUAAGCACCGGCUAACUCUGUGCCAGCAGCCGCGGUAAUACAGAGGGUGCAAGCGUUAAUCGGAUUUACUGGGCGUAAAGCGCGCGUAGGCGGCCAAUUAAGUCAAAUGUGAAAUCCCCGAGCUUAACUUGGGAAUUGCAUUCGAUACUGGUUGGCUAGAGUGUGGGAGAGGAUGGUAGAAUUCCAGGUGUAGCGGUGAAAUGCGUAGAGAUCUGGAGGAAUACCGAUGGCGAAGGCAGCCAUCUGGCCUAACACUGACGCUGAGGUGCGAAAGCAUGGGGAGCAAACAGGAUUAGAUACCCUGGUAGUCCAUGCCGUAAACGAUGUCUACUAGCCGUUGGGGCCUUUGAGGCUUUAGUGGCGCAGCUAACGCGAUAAGUAGACCGCCUGGGGAGUACGGUCGCAAGACUAAAACUCAAAUGAAUUGACGGGGGCCCGCACAAGCGGUGGAGCAUGUGGUUUAAUUCGAUGCAACGCGAAGAACCUUACCUGGCCUUGACAUAGUAGAAACUUUCCAGAGAUGGAUUGGUGCCUUCGGGAAUCUACAUACAGGUGCUGCAUGGCUGUCGUCAGCUCGUGUCGUGAGAUGUUGGGUUAAGUCCCGCAACGAGCGCAACCCUUUUCCUUACUUGCCAGCAUUUCGGAUGGGAACUUUAAGGAUACUGCCAGUGACAAACUGGAGGAAGGCGGGGACGACGUCAAGUCAUCAUGGCCCUUACGGCCAGGGCUACACACGUGCUACAAUGGUCGGUACAAAGGGUUGCUACCUAGCGAUAGGAUGCUAAUCUCAAAAAGCCGAUCGUAGUCCGGAUUGGAGUCUGCAACUCGACUCCAUGAAGU
rnacentral:rRNA from 1 species